GUCGGUGUGCUUUGCUAAGUGCAACUGAAUAACAUAAGUGACAGCAGAGCUCUGGUCAUAUGACACUGAGGAACCGGAUGUUGGAAGGAGAGGGAGGCACUGUGUGCGCAUGAGCAAACUACCAUUAUGUUCUGCACAUGGAAAGACCCUGUCGUUGAAAGAGGUCAGUGGAUAUUGACUGGAGCUGACUGGAGCCGACACUAUUGUCCUUUAUAAUUACGGUGACCAGAACAGCUUGGGAUGUACAACACAAGGUCUUGGAGAAGUGCUGUUGUUCUGUUGCUGGGACCAGUAAAAUUCACCAGCAGCGCUCUGGACACACCCAGCACCAUCAGCAAUCCUGACUCUACAGCGGGAGUAGUCCUCAGCUCGGUCCCAGUAAGUGGGGAUGCACCAAUAGCCCUACUGUGUUAAGGGGCUGGGAUGUGAUUUCAAAAGUGUAACCCACAAUGAAGUCAAAGAAAGUUCACGUUUGAAGAAAAAAAAAAUGUAUCUUGACUCCGCUUACUAACUUUCACCCACUUCUCACAAUCUUCAUUAGCGGAUGGAUGGUGCUGAAAAACUC